AUUGAACGCUGGCGGCAGGCCUAACACAUGCAAGUCGAGCGGAUGAAGGGAGCUUGCUCCUGGAUUCAGCGGCGGACGGGUGAGUAAUGCCUAGGAAUCUGCCUGGUAGUGGGGGAUAACGUCCGGAAACGGGCGCUAAUACCGCAUACGUCCUGAGGGAGAAAGUGGGGGAUCUUCGGACCUCACGGUAUCAGAUGAGCCUAGGUCGGAUUAGCUAGUUGGUGGGGUAAAGGCCUACCAAGGCGACGAUCCGUAACUGGUCUGAGAGGAUAAUCAGUCACACUGGAACGGAGACACGGUCCAGACUCCUACGGGAGGCAGCAGUGGGGAAUAUUGGACAAUGGGCGAAAGCCUGAUCCAGCCAUGCCGCGUGUGUGAAGAAGGUCUUCGGAUUGUAAAGCACUUUAAGUUGGGAGGAAGGGCAGUAAGUUAAUACCUUGCUGUUUUGACGUUACCAACAGAAUAAGCACCGGCUAACUUCGUG
rnacentral:rRNA from 1 species